rnacentral:tRNA from 1 species
GCCAGUGUGGCUCAGUGGAUAGAGCGUCGGCCUGUGGACUGAAAGGUCCCGGGUUCGAUUCCGGCAAGGGCA